GAUGAACGCUGGCGGCGUGCCUAAUACAUGCAAGUCGAGCGAACGGACGAGAAGCUUGCUUCUCUGAUGUUAGCGGCGGACGGGUGAGUAACACGUGGAUAACCUACCUAUAAGACUGGGAUAACUUCGGGAAACCGGAGCUAAUACCGGAUAAUAUAAUGAACCGCAUGGUUCAAAAGUGAAAGACGGUCUUGCUGUCACUUAUAGAUGGAUCCGCGCUGCAUUAGCUAGUUGGUAAGGUAACGGCUUACCAAGGCAACGAUGCAUAGCCGACCUGAGAGGGUGAUCGGCCACACUGGAACUGAGACACGGUCCAGACUCCUACGGGAGGCAGCAGUAGGGAAUCUUCCGCAAUGGGCGAAAGCCUGACGGAGCAACGCCGCGUGAGUGAUGAAGGUCUUCGGAUCGUAAAACUCUGUUAUUAGGGAAGAACAUAUGUGUAAGUAACUGUGCACAUCUUGACGGUACCUAAUCAGAAAGCCACGGCUAACUACGUGCCAGCAGCCGCGGUAAUACGUAGGUGGCAAGCGUUAUCCGGAAUUAUUGGGCGUAAGCGCGCGUAGGCGGUUUUUUAAGUCUGAUGUGAAAGCCCACGGCUCACCGUGGAGGGUCAUUGGAAACUGGAAAACUUGAGUGCAGAACCGUAAAGUGGAAUUCCAUGUGUAGCGGUGAAAUGCGCAGAGAUAUGGAGGAACACCAGUGGCGAAGGCGACUUUCUGGUCUGUAACUGACGCUGAUGUGCGAAAGCGUGGGGAUCAAACAGGAUUAGAUACCCUGGUAGUCCACGCCGUAAACGAUGAGUGCUAAGUGUUAGGGGGUUUCCGCCCCUUAGUGCUGCAGCUAACGCAUUAAGCACUCCGCCUGGGGAGUACGACCGCAAGGUUGAAACUCAAAGGAAUUGACGGGGACCCGCACAAGCGGUGGAGCAUGUGGUUUAAUUCGAAGCAACGCGAAGAACCUUACCAAAUCUUGACAUCCUUUGACAACUCUAGAGAUAGAGCUUUCCCCUUCGGGGGACAAAGUGACAGGUGGUGCAUGGUUGUCGUCAGCUCGUGUCGUGAGAUGUUGGGUUAAGUCCCGCAACGAGCGCAACCCUUAAGCUUAGUUGCCAUCAUUAAGUUGGGCACUCUAAGUUGACUGCCGGUGACAAACCGGAGGAAGGUGGGGAUGACGUCAAAUCAUCAUGCCCCUUAUGAUUUGGGCUACACACGUGCUACAAUGGACAAUACAAAGGGCAGCGAAACCGCGAGGUCAAGCAAAUCCCAUAAAGUUGUUCUCAGUUCGGAUUGUAGUCUGCAACUCGACUACAUGAAGCUGGAAUCGCUAGUAAUCGUAGAUCAGCAUGCUACGGUGAAUACGUUCCCGGGUCU
rnacentral:rRNA from 1 species